GCCAGCCGCCGCGGUAAUACGGAGGAUGCAAGCGUUAUCCGGAAUGAUUGGGCGUAAAGGGUCUGUAGGUGGUACUGAAAGUCUGCUGUUAAAGAGCAAGGCUCAACCUUGUAAGAGCAGUGGAAACUACAGAACUGGAGUGCGGUAGGGGCAAAAGGAAUUCCUGGUGUAGCGGUGAAAUGCGUAGAUAUCAGGAAGAACACCGGUGGCGAAAGCGUUUUGCUAGACCGCAACUGACACUGAGGGACGAAAGCUAGGGGAGCGAAUGGGAUUAGAUACCCCAGUAGUCCUAGCCGUAAACGAUGGAUACUAGGCGUGGCUUGUAUCGACCCGAGCCGUGCCGGAGCUAACGCGUUAAGUAUCCCGCCUGGGGAGUACGCACGCAAGUGUGAAACUCAAAGGAAUUGACGGGGGCCCGCACAAGCGGUGGAGUAUGUGGUUUAAUUCGAUGCAACGCGAAGAACCUUACCAAGACUUGACAUCCUGCGAAUUUUCCUGAAAGGGAAAAGUGCCUUCGGGAGCGCAGAGACAGGUGGUGCAUGGCUGUCGUCAGCUCGUGUCGUGAGAUGUUGGGUUAAGUCCCGCAACGAGCGCAACCCUCGUUUUUAGUUGCCAGCAUUAAGAUGGGCACUCUAGAGAGACUGCCGGUGACAAACCGGAGGAAGGUGAGGAUGACGUCAAGUCAGCAUGCCCCUUACGUCUUGGGCUACACACGUACUACAAUGCUACGGACAAAGGGCGGCUACACAGCGAUGUGAUGCAAAUCUCAGAAACCGUAGCUCAGUUCAGAUCGAAGGCUGCAACUCGCCUUCGUGAAGGAGGAAUCGCUAGUAAUUGCAGGUCAGCAUACUGCAGUGAAUUCGUUCCCGGGCCUUGCACACACCGCCCGU
rnacentral:rRNA from 1 species